GACGAACGCUGGCGGCGUGCCUAAUACAUGCAAGUCGAACGCAGUGGGGACGGGUGAGUAACACGUGGGUAACCUCCCAUCAGAGGGGAUAACACUUGGAAACAGGUGCUAAACCGAUACUGAUUGAUGGACCUGCGGUGCAUUAGCUAGUUGGUGAGGGAACGGCGAACCAAGGCCACGAUGCAUAGCCGACCGGAGAGGGUGAUCGGCAACACGGGGACUGAGACACGGCCCAGACUCCUACGGGAGGCAGCAGGAGGGAAUCUUGGGCAAUGGACGAAAGUCUGACCGAGCAAGGCCGCGUGAGUGAAGAAGGUUUUCGGAUCGUAAAACUCUGUUGUUAGAGAAGCGGUAUCUAACCAGAAAGCAACGGCUAACUACGUGCCAGCAGCCGCGGUAAUUC
rnacentral:rRNA from 1 species